GGUUCCCUAUUGUGGACUGGCUAAUGAGUUGAGCCUAGGAUUGGAUAUUGUUUUUGAAUCUUUAGCUUGAGGAUUUAGAGUUGUGGCUAGUUUGAGAGCGCGACGUAGAGCUCGUAACCUUGGAUAUGUAUUUGGUAUAGAUUGUUUAGUUUUAGAAUCUAAACAGUUGAAUUAUAAUUAACUUGUAUAUUGGAUAUUGAGUUGUUGUAAUAUGGAUGUGUAAAAAGAACCUUUGUAGCCUGUGCGUUUGGGCUUAGUUGGUUGCCCAAGCGUGGCAUAGCACCCCAAUGGUAUAGAUUCUAAUUUUGCUUCCGCAUUUGUAUUCAGUCUUUUAGUAAGAAAGUCUUUAUUUAUGGUUU